AGCUCAGAUGGCAAGGGUGUCUGGUUCCUGACCAGAAGGUCCUGGGUUCAAUCCCAG
rnacentral:tRNA from 1 species